rnacentral:rRNA from 1 species
UACGAAGGGGGCUAGCGUUGCUCGGAAUGACUGGGCGUAAAGGGCGCGUAGGCGGUGAACACAGUUAGGCGUGAAAUUCCCGGGCUCAACCUGGGGGCUGCGUUUAAUACAUGUUCGCUUGAGCUCGGAAGAGGGCCGUGGAAUUCCCAGUGUAGAGGUGAAAUUCGUAGAUAUUGGGAAGAACACCGGUGGCGAAGGCGGCGACCUGGUCCGAUACUGACGCUGAGGCGCGAAAGCUAGGGUAGCGAACGGG